GCUCCCGCGAGCCGACUUGCUUCCGCCGGGCUUUGAUCUCCUCCUCUUCCUCGUCGCGGGGUCUUUUUGUCCCCCUGUUGGGCUAAGCUGAUCAGAAUUGCAGAUCUGCCUACUAUACAUUCACCCGCUUGGAAAACUGGAAGGGGAAUUAAUUCAAUUCACAGAACUAGAUGAAUGGCACCGGCAGGAGCUGUGACAAUGUCCUACCUGCUUUGACCCUCCAACAACAACCACAGCAAAUAUCUGCAUCAUGAAAAAAGCCGCCGGUACUUCAAAUCUGAGCGCUGGCCAGAGCAACCCGACCCUGGGGUUGUGAAGCAAACUGAUUGCAAGUCCUUGGUUCCCAGAGGCGAUCUCUCAUGAGCCAAUUCCCAUGUACCUUCAUGUUUUACAGGUAAAGGCCAAUUCAUUAAAGUGUCCAGUGCUGCACACACACCCCACAGCUCUCCCGGCUCAGACCCAAUUCUUCUGUGUACCCUAAUACCACCCCCACAAAGACCAGGGGAGUCUGGGGACACAACGAAUGCAGAAUAGGCCCUGCAUCCGCACACCCAGCGCGGUACUGUUAUUCGGUGCAGCUCUGCAGAAGAUGGACCCCCCAUCCUAGGCAGAACAUGUGCACACUAGGGGUUGCUUGCGAUUGCUUGUUUUCAUCCACCGUUUGUAGUCACGAGGCAAAAUUAAAGAUUAAAGAUAACCUGCCAAGAACAAGAAAGAACAUGCGCUCCUUCCUCAUUUAAGGUGCAUCUGGAAAGCCCCAAAGGGCUUGUUGUUGGGACUUCUCGCCUUGGCAAAAAGAGAAAUAUUAAAAUGAAUCUCCCGUCUUUUGCAGGACAAGGAAAUGGGAAUAAAACCUCUCCACUUUAUGCUGAAGAACCGCAGCAGGUUCUGCUCCUAAUUGUUUUAACUGGUGUCCGGCAUUAACAAAAAAUGGCUUUUAAAGGGAAGCAAAAAUCCCUUCCCCGUCCAGCUGCUCUAGUGCAGGUUGCACGGACUAAGGAAACAAACACCCUGCGAGUUCGUCACUCAGCCACGAUCUUUCAUGCUGAGCGGAGGAGGAAAAGCCUAACGUUUUAUUAAACCACAGCAAGCUAACAUCUGCUCUCAAUGCCCCCCCACCCCCCGGUCUUCGUCAGCCAUCCAAAGGCACAGCGAGGAAGGCGCAGAUCUGCUUUGCAGGUCGUUAUCUGCCACCUCGAACGUCACAUGCCACUUCCAAGAACAUGGCAGCUGCUGCCGCGCUGCAAGCCCGACUCUUCUGGAAUCACAAAUCAUCAGCGGCGGAGAGGGAAGGGGCGAGAGCACUGCUCCUGCCAGGUCCCCAGAGCGCGCUGGCUUCAAAGCAGGCCCCUGCAGCUCCCCAGCCGGCGAGGAGCUCCAGCCCCCGGGGAGGGGACGCUCAUUCUUCCCGGCUCAGAAGGCAAGACCUGCUGAGACUCCGAUUAGAAGGAGCGCGCCACCACAGACCAGCUCAGAGGCAAAGCCAGGGAGCAGCUCAUUUCUUUUCAUUCGGUCCUGUAUAUACACCGUGACAGACAAGUCAGUGCGAGCGCGCCUGCCGACACAGCGCACACGUGGGCACUGGAGCAGGCCUGCGCAGGAGCCAGCUUUGCUUUUUAGAUGGACAUAAAAGCAGCCCAACUAGGGGCCGCUUUAGACUGCACUGGUUUAAACUAAACCGGUUUAAACUAAACCGGUUUAGUUUAAACCAGUGCAAACUGCACUGCUUGGAUGGGCUGCAAAAUCCGGGUUGGCAGAGCUUCAACGUGAGAGACGGCAGGACGGUGCUGGCAAGCGCUAAGCCCUGGUGUCCUGCCAGCUGUGUUCGGCACGCUACUCAACGCUAUAGUCCCCCGCCGCUCUGCCUGCAGCCAGCGUCGCCCCGCAGCCCACGGGCCGCGUGACACGCCAGGUUCAGAGCCGAGGUUCCCUCCGUCCCCAUCAGCAUGUCAACAGCUGCUGAAGUGACAAACACGUGUACGCCGCUGUAGACCAUUUUGGCAUCUGCAGGACUGGAUGCUAUUUAUUUUUUUAAUUUAAAAAGCAAAAAAACCAAAAAAGCAUGCCCUUACACGUCUUCAGGGCACGGUAACGGCUUACAGCGCCGCACGGAUCAACUUAGGAACAACAUAUUGUCUCCAGCAGACAGUAAUUUGAACACUCCCCUAGCAAUUAGCAACACUCAGCGUAAAACCAAAAUAAAGAUGCUCUUCUCGCUAACACCACCGCAGGGAGAAGCCGAGGUAAACAGAUGUGCCAAGCACAAGCCCUAAAUAGUCGCCCCCGGUGCUGUCCCACACAGAGGGAAGCAGACCGAUUCAACCGCCCCCUUCGCCCCCAGGUUAAAGGGCAGAGCACCUCCACUCAUUCACACCAGCCCGGCAAGUGAUUUCCAGGGAUCCUCUGAUUUUAAAAAAUCCCCAAUUUCUGGCUUUGAAAAAAAGGAAUGCCAAACCCGCAUUUUUCCAUGAUUAAAAUGAAACACUACUAUAUAGCUAGAUCAAUAUAUUAGUGGCGUUUCAUUUUAAUCAUGGAAAAAUGUGAAUUUGGGGUUACCUUUUUUAAAAAAAAUGAAAAUUGGGGAUUUUUUAAGUCAGAGAAAACCAGGAUCCCUGGUGAUUUCCAUUGGAAAUUGGGCCUGACUUCUAGAGCCCUGGAAGAGUUUGAGAAAAGACAGCUUUUGCUUCGUAUGCCCCCCUGUAUGUCUGACCCCAGACUUCAGGCUCUCAUUUCUCUGCGCCUCAUUUUUUUAAAUUAAAAAAGCAACGAGACUGUGGCUGCAAUGAUGGGCUACGGCAGCCCGCGCUUUGUCAGAUGCGAAGUAAUGUACCAUAGGAAGAAACCACCCCACCAGAACAAAUUCUAAAUUAAAACUCCACCAGGAAACCAACUCCAUUUCCUCUGAGCGUGCAAUCUAUAUUAUCAGCAUUUACAAUCUGCUUCAACCUCAAUUAUAUUAUCUUUUUUUGGGGGGAGGGAGGAGGGAAAUAGGAAUACAUCUAUAAUAUGUAAUAAGAGUCAUUAUGAUAAAUUAUGAAACCGCCUGGAGUGUAAUUAUUAAUGCUGCCAACGUAUUUGCAACAGCACAUAAUUGAAUUCCCAGACAAACUUUGUUAAACAGGAGUUAAGGUUUAGCACAGCAUCAGUUACUGAAGGGGGGCAACGUCUCGCUAAGCACACUGCGGUUAUAAAAGGAGCAAUAAUAAAAUCCAAGAAAUCCAGAGCUGAAGUAAAAUGCCUGGAGUUCUGCUCAUUUAAAAGUAUGAAGAUGCAGAGUUGCAGCAGAUUGAUUGAGAUCAGCAAGCCUUUAUUUCAAUUAUUGAUCUCAAUCUCAUUUUGCAUUUGUCGUUUUCAGCUAUUUUCUUAAAGAAAGGUUGAUUCUUGCCAGCUGGUAACUGGUCACAUGUUUCCAAUUACAGAUAGGCUUUAUACUAAAAUCGGUACUUUUGCUGACCGGGAACAUGAUAUCUGUUUAAGCCAUUAUCCAUCUUAACAAACAUUUAUGCAGUGCUAAAUAUUGCACCUUUUACAACACCACUCACGUGGUAAAUAAAGGCUUUACUUCCUACAGAAUGUUCUUUUUUUUAAACUCAUGAAUUGUGAUAUGCUGCAUUUAGAUGGAAAUUUAAUUACAAAUACACAGGAACAAGAGUUUAAAACUGUUUAUUCAGUUAAAAAUCAUAGCACGUGCUGCUUUAUUAAAACAUGUUUUUCAUGUCAACGUA